GACGAACGCUGGCGGCGUGCUUAACACAUGCAAGUCGAACGGAAAGGCCUCUUUCGGGGGGUACUCGAGUGGCGAACGGGUGAGUAACACGUGAGUAACCUGCCCUUGACUUUGGGAUAACUUCAGGAAACUGGGGCUAAUACCGGAUAGGAGCUCCUGCUGCAUGGUGGGGGUUGGAAAGUUUCGGCGGUUGGGGAUGGACUCGCGGCUUAUCAGCUUGUUGGUGGGGUUGUGGCUUACCAAGGCUUUGACGGGUAGCCGGCCUGAGAGGGUGACCGGCCACAUUGGGACUGAGAUACGGCCCAGACUCCUACGGGAGGCAGCAGUGGGGAAUAUUGCACAAUGGGUGGAAGCCUGAUGCAGCAACGCCGUGUGCGGGAUGACGGCCUUCGGGUUGUAAACCGCUUUCGCUCAUGACGAAGCUUUGUGUGACGGUAGUGGGUAAAGAAGCACCGGCUAACUACGUG
rnacentral:rRNA from 1 species